rnacentral:rRNA from 1 species
CCUACGGGAGGCAGCAGUGGGGAAUAUUGCACAAUGGGCGCAACCCUGAUGCAGCGAAGUAGCGUGAAGGAUGACGUCUCUAGGUAUGUAAAAUUCUAUCUGCAGGGGAGAAAAUGACGGCACGUGAGUAAGAAGCUACGGCUAACUACGUGACAGUAGCCGCGGUAAUCCGUAGGGGGCAGGCGUUAUCCGGAUUUACUGGGUGUAAAGGGGGCGUAGACGGGAUGGUAAGUCUGAAGUGAAAUGCCGCGGCUUAACCGCGGAACUGCUAUGGAAACUGUGCAGCUAGAGUGCAGUAGAGGUAAGCGGAAUUCGUGGUGUAGCGGUGAAAUGCGUAGAUAUUAGGAAGAACACCGGUUGCGAAGGCGGCUUACUGGACUGCAACUGACGUUGAGGCUCGAAAGUGUGGGGAGCAAACAGGAUUAGAUACCCUAGUAGUC